CCUGCGGAAGGAUCAUUGCACACACA
rnacentral:rRNA from 1 species